rnacentral:lncRNA from 1 species
UGCCUGAAAAAUUGGUCUGUCAGAUGGACACAGGUCCUGAGUCUUCUAAUUGGUUGCCUACACACAGGAACACCUUCAGCAAAGCUCAGUUAUUCACCAUUGCGGUUAUUCAUUGAUAUGAAGAAAUGCAUCUAAUAUGUCCUUCGGGGAUUUGGGCUGAAUGGGAAAAAGGUGUGCUAAUGAAGGCUGGUAGCCAGAAACUGGGAUUCCUAAGCUCCUAUCAUCCUAAGACAGAGGCGGCACCAAAAGGCUGUGUUUGUUCAUAACAAACGCUAAAAGGCCGUGUUUGUUCAAAUAAACACAAACAAGCUGCGCAUGUUCUCAAAGACGGGUAAGAAGGAGUGAUAUAGACUCAGACCUAAGCCAGGCAACAACAGUUUAUCUAUAAAAAAUUAAAAGGGAGAAACUGUACCCUUUCCUGAGCCUUGAAUUGGCUAGACAACUCUUCCUGCCUGAGACUUGAACUACUGCCUGCCUGCUGAGCUGCUGAAGAGCUUACUUUGCAACUCAAUCCAGCUGAAACAAAGGGAUGGGUUUUUGGGUUUUGCCUAUAUAAAAGCAGAGCUGAAAAAUUAAAAUUUGAGCCAUGAUUAGAGAAACUUUGUCUUGGCUCUUUAUUUCUCUCAUCUGCCUAUCCUAAUUCCACCACAGCUCUCCUUCUAGGUAUACCUGGC